rnacentral:rRNA from 1 species
UACGUAGGCAGCGAGCGUUUGUUCGGAGUUACUGGGCGUAAAGGGUGUGUAGGCGGUUGUUUAAGUUUGGCGUGAAAUCUCCCGGCUCAACUGGGAGGGUGCGUCGAAUACUGAAUGACUUGGAGUGCGGGAGAGAAAAAGUGGAAUUCCUGGUGUAGCGGUGAAAUGCGUAGAUAUCAGGAGGAACACCGGUGGUGUAGACGGCUUUCUGGACCGUAACUGACGCUGAGUGAGCGAAAGCCAGGGGAGCAAAAGCGGGAUUAGAAACCCC